rnacentral:rRNA from 1 species
UCGAUUAGUUUGAUCAUGGCUCAGAGUGAACGCUGGCGGCAGGCCUAACACAUGCAAGUCGAGCGGCAGCGCGGUGGUAGCAAUACCACUGGCGGCGAGCGGCGGACGGGUGAGGAACACAUCGGAAUCUACCCUGUCGUGGGGGAUAACGUAGGGAAACUUACGCUAAUACCGCAUACGACCUUUGGGUGAAAGCGGGGGCUCAGCAAUGACCUCGCGCGAUUGGAUGAGCCGAUGUCCGAUUAGCUAGUUGGCGGGGUAAUGGCCCACCAAGGCGACGAUCGGUAGCUGGUCUGAGAGGACGACCAGCCACACUGGAACUGAGACACGGUCCAGACUCCUACGGGAGGCAGUAGUGGGGAAUAUUGGACAAUGGGGGCAACCCUGAUCCAGCCAUGCCGCGUGGGUGAAGAAGGCCUUCGGGUUGUAAAGCCCUUUUGUACGGGAAGAAAAGCUGCGGGUGAAUACUCCGUAGUCAUGACGGUACCGUAAGAAUAAGCACCGGCUAACUUCGUGCCAGCAGCCGCGGUAAUACGAAGGGUGCAAGCGUUACUCGGAAUUACUGGGCGUAAAGCGUGCGUAGGCGGUUUGUUAAGUCUGAUGUGAAAUCCCCGGGCUCAACCUGGGAAUGGCAUUGGAAACUGGCGAGCUAGAGUACGGUAGAGGGUGGUGGAAUUCCCGGUGUAGCAGUGAAAUGCGUAGAGAUCGGGAGGAACAUCUGUGGC